rnacentral:lncRNA from 1 species
UGUCCCCUCUUGAAUAAUUAUGACCGGUUUAGACAUUAGUGCCUCCCAUUCUCAUGAUUUAUUCAUCGGCUUCUAGUUUGCUGUGCACUGCUCUGGUCAAUCAGAGGUUGCACCGGUAGGCGUGCUAGCGAUCCAUACAUAGGUUACUGCAGUUGUGGCACAUAUGACUUUUUGUUGUGAAUCGGUCCGGCAACUAUAGUUGCUCGGUUGAAGUUACCUGCAGCGGUGGGAUUGGCUACUUCCGAGUGGCGCGUGCUGGGUGAACAUGUAGACGGUAUUCUAUUUGGCCUUUAGAUCUAUUUAUCCUUAUAUUAUGGUCGAAUUAGACUAUUGGAAAUAGAAAGUCCAUAGACAUUUCAGUUCAUUAUAUUUGGCUAGGCGGUGUAGCUUUUUUAUUCGCUCUGUUGUGGUAGUAGGCUAAGAUAACGUCAGCUGUAGCGAGCAAUUUCGCUUGAGGAUCCCAAAGAAACCGUCUGGUUGCAGUUCUCUACAGCGGCUACCGGUUGUCGGCAGGCUAUUUGCUGCGACUGAUGCGAAGCGGCUAGUGAGGCUGGAGAGAGAGUCAAGCAAGAGAGCUGUGCUGGGUGUCUGCCCCCUUUGUAGUGGGAUCAGGAUCGGGACUAUGGUUCAUGUUCAUCAUAGAGACAUGUAGCACUUCACUGCCUCAGUAUCUGGACACCUGGACACCUCCAGACACCUGAACACCUCCGAACACCUGAACACCUCCGAACACCUGCCUAGCCUGCUGUCUACUCAUGGUGAGUCAUCAUGUCUCAGGUUUCACACAACUAAGACUACACCUGUCUGGCUGGCUCUACAGUCAUUUAGGUCUAAACCGAUGAUACUCAUGCUCAGCAGCUCUACAGAAACAG